rnacentral:misc_RNA from 1 species
UUUCCGUAGGUGAACCUGCGGAAGGAUCAUUAUUGUAUAACCGAGGUGCGAGGGCUGUCGCUGACCCGAAAGGUCGUGCACGCCCGAGUGCCCUCACACGCAUCCAUCUCACCCCUAUGUGCACCACCGCGUGGGUCCCCCUUUGGCUUGUUCGGAGGGGGGCUUACGUUUUCACACAAACUUUGUAUGCAGUGUAGAAUGUAUUUUUUUUUUGCGAUCACGCAAUCAAUACAACUUUCAACAACGGAUCUCUUGGCUCUC